rnacentral:snRNA from 1 species
UCUUGAAUCUUUGUUCUUCUUG